CCUACGGGAGGCAGCAGUGAGGAAUAUUGGUCAAUGGGCUUACGCCUGAACCAGCCAAGUCGCGUGAGGGAAGACUGCCCUAUGGGUUGUAAACCCCUUUCGUCAGGGAGCAACGCCGGCUGCGUGCAGACGGAUUGAGAGUACCUGAAGAAAUAGCAUCGGCAAACUCGGUGCCAGCAGCCGCGGUAAUACGGAGGAUGCGAGCGUUAUCCGGAUUUAUUGGGUUAAAAGGGGGCGUAGGCGGAAAGCAAAGUCAGCGGUAAAAUCGCGGGGCUAAACCUCGCUACGCCGUUGAAACUGGCGUUCUUGAGUGGGCGAGAGGUAUGCGGAAUGCGUGGUGUAGCGGUGAAAUGCGUAGAUAUCACGAGGAACACCAGUUGCGAAGGCAGCAUGCCGGCGCCUAACUGACGCUGAGGCACGAAAGCGUGGGGAGCGAACAGGAUUAGAUACCCCGGUAGUC
rnacentral:rRNA from 1 species